rnacentral:rRNA from 1 species
AGUUUGAUCCUGGCUUAGGACGAACGCUGGCGGCGUGCCUAAUACAUGCAAGUCGAACGGUCUUUUCUAUGGAAGCUUGCUUCCACUGAAAAGAUAGUGGCGAACGGGUGAGUAACACGUGGGUAACCUGCCCAUAAGAGGGGGAUAACAUCCGGAAACGGGUGCUAAUACCGCAUAGUUUUCUUGAUCGCAUGAUCGGGAAAGGAAAGACGGCCUUUGUGCUGUCGCUUAUGGAUGGACCCGCGGCGUAUUAGUUAGUUGGUGAGGUAACGGCUCACCAAGACGAUGAUACGUAGCCGACCUGAGAGGGUGAUCGGCCACAUUGGGACUGAGACACGGCCCAAACUCCUACGGGAGGCAGCAGUAGGGAAUCUUGCACAAUGGGGGAAACCCUGAUGCAGCCAACGCCGCGUGAGUGAUGACGGCCUUCGGGUUGUAAAGCUCUGUCUUCAGGGACGAUAAUGACGGUACCUGAGGAGGAAGCCACGGCUAACUACGUGCCAGCAGCAGC